rnacentral:rRNA from 1 species
GAUGAACGCUGGCGGCGUGCCUAACACAUGCAAGUCGAACGGGACUUGUUAAGUUGAAACUUCGGUCGAUUCUUUUCAAGUCUAGUGGCGGACGGGUGAGUAACGCGUGGGCAACCUGCCUCACACUGGGGGAUAACAGUCAGAAAUGACUGCUAAUACCGCAUAAGCGCACAGCAUCGCAUGAUGCAGUGUGAAAAACUCCGGUGGUGUGAGAUGGACCCGCGUCUGAUUAGCUGGUUGGCGGGGUAACGGCCCACCAAGGCGACGAUCAGUAGCCGACCUGAGAGGGUGACCGGCCACAUUGGGACUGAGACACGGCCCAA